rfam:Spinacia oleracea cultivar SynViroflay scaffold69151.con0002.1, whole genome shotgun sequence.
UUGCUGUAGGGAUGGAACGAAAUCCUUAAAUUGAAAAUAAAAAGUCAUCCGUCACUUUGUCAGCAGAUUCUUUUUAUUCAUUUUUUUGCUGAUCAUACAAGAUGACAUAUUC